ACACCGUCUCCGGGCUCCAACUUGCCCUUCUGUAAAAUGGGGAGUUUGGACCAAGUCAUUCUGAAGGUCUUUUCCAGCUUUAAUGACACGUGUUUUGCAUGUGACCUGGCAGCACAGGGUUCAGAGGAGGGAGAGAUCAGAGUGACUAGUGCGGGCUUCCUGGGGAAUCAUUUGAGCUUUGAAGGUGGGGAGGAGGAAUGUCAGAGAGUGGGCAAAAUACAACAGGAAAGGGAAAUUCACCCUCUAGGGCCAGGGGGCACGGGGGCAGCCUGCUCUCCUCCUGGGGCCCUGUUCCCUGUGGGGACUCGAAGAGAGGCUUUGAGUCCAGGGCCUGGGGCAGCAAGGAUUGACGGGGGUGCAGUCCUAGAAGGGUCGGCAGUCACGGUGGCCCACCAUGGCAUCUCCGUAUCCUUGCUGCGUGCUGCACCCACUCCAGCUGCCAGAGCACGGAGGCAGAGACGUGGGAGCCGAUGGAGGUCGCACGCCAGCCUCCCACCUGUGAGACAAAGGGCCCUGUCACUGGAAGCCAUGUCCAGCCUGGCCCCACAGGAGCCAGGGCUCUGCACCUAACGAGGACUGAUGGGAAAGGGAAGGCUGGCAGCAGUGAGGGGCCAUCAUCUGAGUCAUGUUCCUGUAUUUGGGAUUCGCCCCUCCAAAACAGUUGUGAUGGGAGACACCGGCCACCUACUAUUAUGCGGCCACGCACCACAUAACAACAUUUCAGGCAACAAUGACCGCACAUACCACAGUGGUCCCAUAAAAUUACAAUGGAGCUGAAAAGUUCCUAUUGCCUAGUGACGUCACAGCCAUUGUAAGGUCGGAGUGCAACACAUCACUCAUGUGUUUGUGUUGAUGCUGCUGUAAACAAACCUACUGCACUGCCAGUCAUAUAAAAAAGUAUAGCCCAUACAAUUAUGUGUGGUACUUAAUAUUUAAUAAUAAUAAACAACUAUGUUGCUGGUUU